rnacentral:rRNA from 1 species
GGGUUGUGAGGUUAAGCGACUAAGCGUACACGGUGGAUGCCCUGGCAGUCAGAGGCGAUGAAGGACGUGCUAAUCUGCGAAAAGCGCCGGCGAGGUGAUAUGAACCCUUGACCCGGCGAUGUCCGAAUGGGGAAACCCAGUGUGAUUCGUCACACUAUCGUUAACUGAAUACAUAGGUUAACGAGGCGAACCGGGGGAACUGAAACAUCUAAGUACCCCGAGGAAAAGAAAUCAACCGAGAUUCCCCCAGUAGCGGCGAGCGAACGGGGAGCAGCCCGGAGUCUGAAUCAGCUUGUGUGUUAGUGGAACGGUCUGGAAAGUCCGACGGUACAGGGUGAUAGUCCCGUACACGAAAGCACACUUGCUGUGAACUCGAAGAGUAGGGCGGGACACGUGGUAUCCUGUCUGAAUAUGGGGGGACCAUCCUCCAAGGCUAAAUACUCCUGACUGACCGAUAGUGAACCAGUACCGUGAGGGAAAGGCGAAAAGAACCCCGGCGAGGGGAGUGAAAAAGAACCUGAAACCGUGUACGUACAAGCAGUGGGAGCACCUUCGUGGUGUGACUGCGUACCUUUUGUAUAAUGGGUCAGCGACUUAUAUUCUGUAGCAAGGUUAACCGUAUAGGGGAGCCGAAGGGAAACCGAGUCUUAACUGGGCGUUAAGUUGCAGGGUAUAGACCCGAAACCCGGUGAUCUAGCCAUGGGCAGGUUGAAGGUUGGGUAACACUAACUGGAGGACCGAACCGACUAAUGUUGAAAAAUUAGCGGAUGACCUGUGGCUGGGGGUGAAAGGCCAAUCAAACCGGGAGAUAGCUGGUUCUCCCCGAAAGCUAUUUAGGUAGCGCCUCGUGAACUCAUCUUCGGGGGUAGAGCACUGUUUCGGCUAGGGGGCCAUCCCGGCUUACCAACCCGAUGCAAACUACGAAUACCGAAGAAUGUUAUCACGGGAGACACACGGCGGGUGCUAACGUCCGUCGUGAAGAGGGAAACAACCCAGACCGCCAGCUAAGGUCCCAAAGUCAUGGUUAAGUGGGAAACGAUGUGGGAAGGCACAGACAGCCAGGAUGUUGGCUUAGAAGCAGCCAUCAUUUAAAGAAAGCGUAAUAGCUCACUGGUCGAGUCGGCCUGCGCGGAAGAUGUAACGGGGCUAAACCAUGCACCGAAGCUGCGGCAGCGACACUAUGUGUUGUUGGGUAGGGGAGCGUUCUGUAAGCCGUUGAAGGUGUGCUGUGAGGCAUGCUGGAGGUAUCAGAAGUGCGAAUGCUGACAUAAGUAACGAUAAAGCGGGUGAAAAGCCCGCUCGCCGGAAGACCAAGGGUUCCUGUCCAACGUUAAUCGGGGCAGGGUGAGUCGACCCCUAAGGCGAGGCCGAAAGGCGUAGUCGAUGGGAAACAGGUUAAUAUUCCUGUACUUGGUGUUACUGCGAAGGGGGGACGGAGAAGGCUAUGUCAGCCGGGCGACGGUUGUCCCGGUUUAAGCAUGUAGGCGGAGGUUCCAGGUAAAUCCGGUACCUUAUUAACGCUGAGGUGUGAUGACGAGGCACUACGGUGCUGAAGUGAUAAAUGCCCUGCUUCCAGGAAAAGCCUCUAAGCAUCAGGUAACACGAAAUCGUACCCCAAACCGACACAGGUGGUCAGGUAGAGAAUACCAAGGCGCUUGAGAGAACUCGGGUGAAGGAACUAGGCAAAAUGGUGCCGUAACUUCGGGAGAAGGCACGCUGAUGUGUAGGUGAAGCCCCUGCGGGCGGAGCUGAAAUCAGUCGAAGAUACCAGCUGGCUGCAACUGUUUAUUAAAAACACAGCACUGUGCAAACACGAAAGUGGACGUAUACGGUGUGACGCCUGCCCGGUGCCGGAAGGUUAAUUGAUGGGGUUAGCUGUAAGGCGAAGCUCUUGAUCGAAGCCCCGGUAAACGGCGGCCGUAACUAUAACGGUCCUAAGGUAGCGAAAUUCCUUGUCGGGUAAGUUCCGACCUGCACGAAUGGCGUAAUGAUGGCCAGGCUGUCUCCACCCGAGACUCAGUGAAAUUGAACUCGCUGUGAAGAUGCAGUGUACCCGCGGCAAGACGGAAAGACCCCGUGAACCUUUACUAUAGCUUGACACUGAACACUGGUCCUUGAUGUGUAGGAUAGGUGGGAGGCUUUGAAGCGUGGACGCCAGUCUGCGUGGAGCCGCCCUUGAAAUACCACCCUUUAAUGGCUGGUGUUCUAACGUAGACCCGUAAUCCGGGUUGCGGACAGUGUCUGGUGGGUAGUUUGACUGGGGCGGUCUCCUCCCAAAGAGUAACGGAGGAGCACGAAGGUUGGCUAAUCCUGGUCGGACAUCAGGAGGUUAGUGCAAUGGCAUAAGCCAGCUUGACUGCGAGCGUGACGGCGCGAGCAGGUGCGAAAGCAGGUCAUAGUGAUCCGGUGGUUCUGAAUGGAAGGGCCAUCGCUCAACGGAUAAAAGGUACUCCGGGGAUAACAGGCUGAUACCGCCCAAGAGUUCAUAUCGACGGCGGUGUUUGGCACCUCGAUGUCGGCUCAUCACAUCCUGGGGCUGAAGUAGGUCCCAAGGGUAUGGCUGUUCGCCAUUUAAAGUGGUACGCGAGCUGGGUUUAGAACGUCGUGAGACAGUUCGGUCCCUAUCUGCCGUGGGCGCUGGAGAAUUGAGGGGGGCUGCUCCUAGUACGAGAGGACCGGAGUGGACGCAUCACUGGUGUUCGGGUUGUCAUGCCAAUGGCACUGCCCGGUAGCUAAAUGCGGAAGAGAUAAGUGCUGAAAGCAUCUAAGCACGAAACUUGCCCCGAGAUGAGUUCUCCCUGAGACUUUAAGUCUCCUGAAGGAACGUUAAAGACGAUGACGUUGAUAGGUCGGGUGUGUAAGCGCAGCGAUGCGUUGAGCUAACCGAUACUAAUGAACCGUGAGGCUUAACCUUACAACGCCGAAGGUGUUU